AAAGGGUGCGUAGGCGGGAUCUUAAGUCAGGGGUGAAAUCCCGAGGCUCAACCUCGGAACUGCCUUUGAUACUGGGGUCCUUGAGUCCGGAAGAGGUGAGUGGAACUGCGAGUGUAGAGGUGAAAUUCGUAGAUAUUCGCAAGAACACCGGUGGCGAAGGCGGCUCACUGGUCCGGAACUGACGCUGAGGCACGACAGCGUGGGGAGCAAACAGGAUUAGAUACCCUGGU
rnacentral:rRNA from 1 species